CCCCGGAGAGAGUCACCGACACAGAGACGGGUUGUUUAACAUAAGCGCUGGGAGCUCGCCUCGGAGGCUUCAGGAGUCCUGACCUAUCGCUGCUGACAUCCAGAUUGUGCUGCUGUCUUUAGCUGGAACAGGAUGGAUUUUCCUGCCAACCUCAGGUCUGGCCAAAGCUGCCGGUGGUCAGCAGAGCUAAUUUGAUGCGACAAUCGUCACUGAACUGUCAGUCACAGAGGGUAAUGUGCUUGAAAUCGAGGAGGCAGCCAGGAAACGCAAAGUUGAAGAAGCACUGAACUCCAGAGGGCAAAAUGUACGAGGGAAAAGCUGGAUUGUGUUAUGAAACACUUUCAUGUACAUAAUUGCUACGCAACGUCCAAAGGAGGCCGGAGUUUGUUUAGCAGAACCUUGAGAAGACAACAGUUGGACUUUUUCACAUUUUGCCAUUCACAACCACUUAUAUUUGCACUAAAAUAAAAAAAAAAAAUCCCUGCAACUUUAAAUAAGGAUUUCAUUCAAAAAGGGAACAAUGCUCCAAAAACAAACUUUGUGAAAAAAGUAAUUAGCUGUCGGCUGACUGCGAUUAACCAAUCCAUCAAAUCAAGAAAUCACACAAGUAGGACCCGUCUGGCAACAGGAAGUAGGCUAAGGGAACUAAAAGAAGAAAAACAAGGUCACUGAAAUCUGUGGCUGAAGAUUUCUACUGAUUUGAAA